GGUAGUUUGGUUCUGGUUACCUAGCUUGGGUAAAACAUGGUCAAUUAACACAUGGUAGUUAAGGCGCAGAAUGAGUAUGAGUUGGCUUUUCUACAAGGGGGGCCACGGAGCCCCUUGAAGGAAGCUC
rnacentral:rRNA from 1 species